rnacentral:rRNA from 1 species
GAAACUAACAAGGAUUCCCCUAGUAGCGGCGAGCGAAGCGGGAAGAGCUCAAAUUUAUAAUCUGGCACCUUCGGUGUCCGAGUUGUAAUCUCUAGAAGUGUUUUCCGCGUUGGACCGCACACAAGUCUGUUGGAAUACAGCGGCAUAGUGGUGAAACCCCCGUAUAUGGUGCGGACGCCCAGCGCUUUGUGAUACACUUUCAAUGAGUCGAGUUGUUUGGGAAUGCAGCUCAAAUUGGGUGGUAAAUUCCAUCUAAAGCUAAAUAUUGGCGAGAGACCGAUAGCGAACAAGUACCGUGAGGGAAAGAUGAAAAGCACUUUGGAAAGAGAGUUAACAGUACGUGAAAUUGUUGGAAGGGAAACGCUUGAAGUCAGACUUGCUUGCCGGAGCUUGCUUCGGUUUGCAGGCCAGCAUCAGUUUUCCGGGGUGGAUAAUGACGGUUUGAAGGUAGCAGUCUCGGCUGUGUUAUAGCUUUCCGUUGGAUACGCCCUGGGGGACUGAGGAACGCAGCGUGCUUUUUGCGAAAGACU